rnacentral:rRNA from 1 species
CGGUACAUCGGUGACAGGUGGUGCAUGGUUGUCGUCAGCUCGUGUCGUGAGAUGUUGGUUAAGUCCCGCAACGAGCGCAACCCCUAUUGUUAGUUGCCAUCAUUCAGUUGGGCACUCUAGCGAGACUGCCGGUAAUAAACCGGAGGAAGGUGGGGAUGACGUCAAAUCAUCAUGCCCCUUAUGACCUGGGCUACACACGUGCUACAAUGGUUGGUACAACGAGUUGCGAGUCGGUGACGGCGAGCUAAUCUCUUAAAGCCAAUCUCAGUUCGGAUUGUAGGCUGCAACUCGCCUACAUGAAGUCGGAAUCGCUAGUAGUCGCGGAUCAGCACGCCGCGGUGAAUACGUUCCCGGGCCUU